rnacentral:lncRNA from 1 species
ACUGAUAGAGAAGGGCGUGGGCUGGGCCUACCCGGCAGGAGCCGCCUCACCCCAUCAGGCCCAGAUCCUCUAAGACAAGACAGGGAUAAAGUCUCCCGUGGAAUCCCCUCCCGCCUCAUAUUCCCUGACCCUGCCCUCCCUGCGAGAACUCCAGUCCGGGCUCCACAAAGGGCGCGGGUUCAAGCAAUUCUCCUGCCUCAGUUUCCAGAGUAGCUGGAAUUAUAGAUUCUGGGAAAGUGAACUCCACGGAAGACUCAGAAACCAAGUUCUAAUUCAGUUGCCAUGAAAACUUAAGGUGAGAGGAUUGUCAACCAGUGAAAAAUACGGAGGAAAACACUAACAGAAUAUGAUGAAGAAGCCAAGACUUGGGCUGCUUGCAUUACAUUAACCGAGGUUUACCCGCAGCGAGGCUGCCUCCAAAGCAUCCGGAGUUUGCAACCAUCACUGUCCACCCCGCGAGCUGCGAUAGUGCGAGAACUACAAUUCCCGUGGGGCUGUGCGGGAGCAUCGCGAGAGUUACAUUAACUGUGGCGGCGGGAAGGCGGAGCCUGCAGCUGGCUG